rnacentral:rRNA from 1 species
UACGGGGGGGGCAAGCGUUGUUCGGAAUUACUGGGCGUAAAGGGCGCGUAGGCGGCCAUGUAAGUCAGACGUGAAAUCCCUCGGCUCAACCGAGGAACUGCGUCUGAUACUGGAAGGCUUGAAUCCGGGAGAGGGAUGUGGAAUUCCAGGUGUAGCGGUGAAAUGCGUAGAUAUCUGGAGGAACACCGGUGGCGAAGGCGGCAUCCUGGACCGGUAUUGACGCUGAGGCGCGAAAGCUAGGGGAGCAAACGGG